ACAUAAACAUUUUGCUUUUUCAAUGGGUUUUCUCUCUCUCUCUCUCUCUCGAUCUCUCGAUCUCAGUUCCUCUCCUCUUCUACCGUCGUAAACCUGAAAAAAAUCAAGGUUCCAUCUUUUCUUCUUCUCUAGAUCGUGGAAUAAACCCUAAGAAAAAUUCUCCAUCUUUUACGAAGCGUGUCGACUCCACUUCUCACCUCGUUGGUUCACGUCUCGAGCCCAAGAGAAUCUCCAAUCGAAACCGAAUCUGACAUCGACUAAGCCAUCGAUUCCUCUGGCGCUGAUGAUGGCAAAAUUAGCAUUUCGGAUUUAACUAAGCCAUCCGAGCCUUCUCGUUUUCCACUUCUCAAUGGGACUACUGUAAUAUGGGACUCGAGGAAGCAGAAACCGACAAUUAACUUUACAGAGCUGAGAUGGAGGUGGUGGCAUCGGAGGAGGCUGUGCGAAAGAGUUGGGGUUAUUUUUUGUAUUUUUUUAGAUUUAGUAAACCAAAGUUGUAAACCAAAUCAGUUGUAAACCAAAAUUUUAAUAUUAACCGAAGUCAUUUGCAAACCAAUUUAA